CUCUCUGGCCAUGCCACCCUGAACACGCCCGAUGUCUGAUCUCGGAAGCUAAGCGGGUUCAGGCCUGGUUAGUACUUGGAGGGGAGACCACCUAGGAAGACCAGGUGCUGCAGGUG
rnacentral:rRNA from 1 species